GGGUGCAGCAGGCGCGAAAACUUUACCACGCUUGAAACCGUGAUAAGGGGACACCGAGUGCCAGCAUCAUAUGCUGGCUGUCCGGGUGUGUAAAAUACACCCGUUAGCAAGGGCCGGGCAAGACCGGUGCCAGCCGCCGCGGUAACACCGGCGGCCCGAGUGGUGAUCGUGAUUAUUGGGUCUAAAGGGUCCGUAGCCGGUUUGGUCAGUCCUCCGGGAAAUCUGACGGCUCAACCGUUAGGCUUUCGGGGGAUACUGCCAGGCUUGGAACCGGGAGAGGUAAGAGGUACUACAGGGGUAGGAGUGAAAUCUUGUAAUCCCUGUGAGACCACCUGUGGCGAAGGCGUCUUACCAGAACGGGUUCGACGGUGAGGGACGAAAGCUGGGGGCACGAACCGGAUUAGAUACCCGGGUAGUCCCAGCCGUAAACGAUGCUCGCUAGGUGUCAGGCAUGGCGCGACCGUGUCUGGUGCCGCAGGGAAGCCGUGAAGCGAGCCACCUGGGAAGUACGGCCGCAAGGCUGAAACUUAAAGGAAUUGGCGGGGGAGCAC
rnacentral:rRNA from 1 species